rnacentral:lncRNA from 1 species
AAAAUGUCAAAUGUGGAAACGUAAUAAAAAUUUUGAUUAGCAUCCCUUACACAAUAACUAAAACGAACUCAAAACAUGAAAGAACAAACUAACUAAAAGAGAUACUCGAAAUAAGAACUAUAAAUAUAGCUAUGGAGUCUUUAGGCGUCCCCUUCGCCGUCUUCCUGCGGAACGGGCUCGGGAACAAUGUCUUCCUGAUCUGAAAUAGUUAAAUAAGGAAUGAGCUACACUAAUCAUACAAAACAUGUAAACCAGUAAUUGACACCAAAUAAGACAAUACAGUACCGGGUUCACCAUAAUACAAAUCAUAAUAAAAGAAACAUAGUUCAUGCAUACGAGACCAUAACAUAAUUACAUCAAACAUCAUGUUGCAUUUAAUACUGAAAAUUAGAUCAAACAAUAACAGACCAACACUGUAUCAGACUCGGGCUCCAUUGGCAACCUUAAUCAAUUAUACAUCUAUAAAGUCACACAGUACAGUUUAAUUAUUUAUUUAGCUUUAAUACCGUGAUAGGAAAUAGGGUGAGGGGUCCUUACCUGUUUUGGAGUCUGAAUUCGACUCUACAGCGCGCCUACAGGCUGUCCCUAAUUUUUCCUGAAUUUUUUAUGGGAAACUGAAACGC